rnacentral:rRNA from 1 species
UGGGGAAUUUUGGACAAUGGGCGCAAGCCUGAUCCAGCCAUGCCGCGUGCGGGAAGAAGGCCUUCGGGUUGUAAACCGCUUUUGUCGGGGAAGAAAUCUUCCGGGCUAAUACCUCGGGAGGAUGACGGUACCCGAAGAAUAAGCACCGGCUAACUACGUGCCAGCAGCCGCGGUAAUACGUAGGGUGCAAGCGUUAAUCGGAAUUACUGGGCGUAAAGCGUGCGCAGGCGGUGAUGCAAGACAGAUGUGAAAUCCCCGGGCUUAACCUGGGAACUGCAUUUGUGACUGCAUUGCUGGAGUGCGGCAGAGGGGGAUGGAAUUCCGCGUGUAGCAGUGAAAUGCGUAGAUAUGCGGAGGAACACCGAUGGCGAAGGCAAUCCCCUGGGCCUGCACUGACGCUCAUGCACGAAAGCGUGGGGAGCAAACAGG